rnacentral:rRNA from 1 species
CCUACGGGCGGCUGCAGUGGGGAAUAUUGCACAAUGGGCGCAAGCCUGAUGCAGCCAUGCCGCGUGUGUGAAGAAGGCCUUCGGGUUGUAAAGCACUUUCAGCGGGGAGGAAGGCGGUGAGGUUAAUAACCUCAUCGAUUGACGUUACCCGCAGGAGAAGCACCGGCUAACUCCGUGCCAGCAGCCGCGGUAAUACGGAGGGUGCAAGCGUUAAUCGGAAUUACUGGGCGUAAAGCGCACGCAGGCGGUCUGUCAAGUCGGAUGUGAAAUCCCCGGGCUCAACCUGGGAACUGCAUUCGAAACUGGCAGGCUAGAGUCUUGUAGAGGGGGGUAGAAUUCCAGGUGUAGCGGUGAAAUGCGUAGAGAUCUGGAGGAAUACCGGUGGCGAAGGCGGCCCCCUGGACAAAGACUGACGCUCAGGUGCGAAAGCGUGGGGAGCAAACAGGAUUAGAUACCCCAGUAGUC